rnacentral:lncRNA from 1 species
UGGGUAUCAUACAGAAGGAACAUGCUGAAAAGAACUAAUCCACCGUACAUUGCCACUGAGUAAAGAGUGGCACCAGCCACGGUGGUAGGUGGAAGAAACAUAGAUCCCAAUGAGGACACAAAGACGAGACCCAGGCCCACUCCCAGGGGUGCACCCAUGUUCAGAAACUUUUCACUGGGCGCACACAUGGCCACAGUGGAGAG